AACUUAUACUUUAAACUACUGAGAAUAACAUUCCCCUUUAUAGUUAAUACACAUCACUCUCCACAGACUUAGAGUCUUUCCAGAAAAUAGUUCAUAAAUUCUCCAAACAUCUAAUGGGUUUUUGCAAAUUGGUCAUUCCAAGUGACUAUUACCAGGCAAGUUUCUUCUUUUAGAGAGAUUCUUAAAUCUGUCACUGGCAGUAAGGCCUUUCUCCGUAAUUGUUCCUUUCUGAUGAUGCCAGAACGAAUUUCCAAAAAUGGAAAUAAGGAGGGAGCAAGGUAAACUGACCAUGUAAAGGGCCACUAGGAAUUGGCAGAAACAAGAAGAUCGUGCCCUUCAGCAACGAAAAACCACAAGAUAAAUAGACAUGGAGGUGUGAAGAAUUAAGUAGCAUUUAAGCACCACAGUCAACGUUUUAAAGAAUUGACAUCUUUUACCAAGAUUGCAGUCUGGCUUUUGAAAGUUAAAAAAAACAAACUGAGCUUAUUUCCAAGAUCACAAGGUAAUUACGGAUUUGGACAGAUAUUUCAUUCACCCAGAUCCAAUAGAACCCAACUGAUUCCAGUUAUAGAGUCAUAGAGAUAUACAGCACGGAAACAGGCUCUUCAGUCCAACUCGUCUGCACCGACCAGAUAUCCUA